rnacentral:rRNA from 1 species
GAGUUUGAUCCUGGCUCAGAACGAACGCUGGCGGCGUGCCUAACACAUGCAAGUCGAACGUGAUCCAGAGCUUGCUCUGGUGAAAGUGGCGCACGGGUGAGUAACGCGUGGAUAACCUACCCUGGUAUCCGGGAUAACAUUCCGAAAGGGGUGCUAAUACCGGAUAAGCCCACGGGCUCUUUGGAGCUUGCGGGAAAAGGUGGCCUCUAUUUAUAAGCUACUGUAUCAGGAUGGGUCCGCGUACCAUUAGCUAGUUGGCGGUGUAACGGACCACCAAGGCGACGAUGGUUAGCUGGUCUGAGAGGAUGAUCAGCCACACUGGAACUGAGACACGGUCCAGACUCCUACCGGAGGCAGCAGUGGGGAAUUUUGCGCAAUGGGGGAAACCCUGACGCAGCAACGCCGCGUGAGUGAUGAAGGCCUUUGGGUCGUAAAGCUCUGUCAGAGGGGAAGAAAUGAUAUAGUGCUAAUACCACUUUAUCUUGACGGUACCCUCAAAGGAAGCACCGGCUAACUCCGUGCCAGCAGCCGCGGUAAUAC